AGUGAACGCUGGCGGUAGGCCUAACACAUGCAAGUCGAACGGCAGCACAGUAAGAGCUUGCUCUUACGGGUGGCGAGUGGCGGACGGGUGAGGAAUACAUCGGAAUCUACUUUUUCGUGGGGGAUAACGUAGGGAAACUUACGCUAAUACCGCAUACGACCUACGGGUGAAAGCAGGGGAUCUUCGGACCUUGCGCGAUUGAAUGAGCCGAUGUCGGAUUAGCUAGUUGGGGGGGUAAAGGCCAACCAAGGCGACGAUCGGUAGCUGGUCUGAGAGGAUGAUCAGCCACACUGGAACUGAGACACGGUCCAGACUCCUACGGGAGGCAGCAGUGGGGAAUAUUGGACAAUGGGCGCAAGCCUGAUCCAGCCAUACCGCGUGGGUGAAGAAGGCCUUCGGGUUGUAAAGCCCUUUUGUUGGGAAAGAAAAGCAGCAGGUUAAUACCCCGCUGUUCUGACGGUACCCAAAGAAUAAGCACCGGCUAACUUCGUG
rnacentral:rRNA from 1 species